rfam:Clostridium saccharolyticum WM1, complete genome.
UAUGAUACUUCUGUUUUGAACGCUUCACCGCAUUGAACAGCCCGGCAGGAUGACCGGGAGAACGCAUCACCCUCGUUUGAGAAAGAAUGAGGGGCGGCUUUU